GGCCAAAUCGAUGCAGUGCCAUACUAUACCUUGCUUGUCGCUAUAUCGGUUCAAAAAUGAAAGUCAUAUUAGCCAUAUAUUGUGUGUUCUUGUUGUUAAUCUCAACGGCAACUGGCGCAAAAAAUAACACUGCAAAGGAUAGAAACAAUGCUUUAAGGACGCGCAUAUGCUCAGCGCGUCCCGAAUAUGGUUUAUGUGAAGGACACCGCUCGUUAUGGUACUAUAAUCCAGGUCGAUCACGAUGCCAAUUGUUUGAUUACUCCAACUGUGGUGGCAAUCGCAAUAAGUUCUUCUCCGAAGAACAUUGCAUCAAUUUUUGUAAGAAAAAGAUGCUCAGCUAGUUUUGUUUAUAUAUCAGAAUAAUCGUUAUAUAUAUGCAAAGGUAGCUCAGGUUUUGUAAAUACAGCCCAAAAUAUGAAUAUCAAGAUCAAAUACAAUAAUACAAACUAUUUCUAAUCAAAGCGAAUUCAAUAAAAUUUGAUUAUAUAUA